UACAGAGGUCUCAAGCGUUGUUCGGAUUCAUUGGGCGUAAAGGGUGCGUAGGCGGCGCGCUAAGUCGGGUGUGAAAUCUCGGAGCUUAACUCCGAAACUGCAUUCGAUACUGCCGUGCUUGAGGACUGGAGAGGAGACUGGAAUUUACGGUGUAGCGGUGAAAUGCGUAGAUAUCGUAAGGAAGACCAGUGGCGAAGGCGGGGCUCUGGACAGUUCCUGACGCUGAGGCACGAAGGCCAGGGGAGCAAACGGG
rnacentral:rRNA from 1 species